rnacentral:lncRNA from 1 species
GUGCGUGUGUGUAAAGAAGGAGAUUAGGACAUUUAGAGAAGGAGGGCGGGGAGGAGAGAUCCUGAGAAUAGAAAGGAGGAAAGAAAAAAAGAGGAAUGGAAAGAGACAGAGAAAGGAAAUGGGAGUGGAAGGAGGGAGGACUGCUUUGUAACUGCUAAGAUUGCAGACAGAAAUAGCACACAACCACUGUGAGCUGUAUGCGAUUCAGAAACCAAGACCAAAUUUUGCUCACUUUCAUUAAUCAGUUGCUCAGAUAGAAGGAAAUGACAUCUGGUUCUGUCUUCUUCUACAUCUUAAUUUUUGGAAAAUAUUGAGACAACAAUGGAUGGUCUCUGCAAUUUGACAAAUAUUUUGCCAGUUACUACAAAAUGACUUCCCAAUAUCCUUUUGAGGCAGAAACACCUGAAUGUUCUUUUCAUUUCUUUCUUUUCAUUACCCUCCUCUUCCUGGUCCCUCACUGUCAUCAUGCCUUACCACUUCCCCUUGAUUCAGUGGUCGGUUCUGUGCCAGUGCAAUGUCUUUGCCAAGGUCUGGAGCUUGACUGUGAUGAAACCAAUUUACGAGCUGUUCCAUCGGUUUCUUCAAAUGUGACUGCAAUGUCACUUCAGUGGAACUUAAUAAGAAAGCUUCCUCCUGAUUGCUUCAAGAAUUAUCAUGAUCUUCAGAAGCUGUACCUGCAAAACAAUAAGAUUACAUCCAUCUCCAUCUAUGCUUUCAGAGGACUGAAUAGCCUUACUAAACUGUAUCUCAGUCAUAACAGAAUAACCUUCCUGAAGCCGGGUGUUUUUGAAGAUCUUCACAGACUAGAAUGGCUGAUAAUUGAAGAUAAUCACCUCAGUCGAAUUUCCCCACCAACAUUUUAUGGACUAAAUUCUCUUAUUCUCUUAGUCCUGAUGAAUAACGUCCUCACCCGUUUACCUGAUAAACCUCUCUGUCAACACAUGCCAAGACUACAUUGGCUGGACCUUGAAGGCAACCAUAUCCAUAAUUUAAGAAAUUUGACUUUUAUUUCCUGCAGUAAUUUAACUGUUUUAGUGAUGAGGAAAAACAAAAUUAAUCACUUAAAUGAAAAUACUUUUGCACCUCUCCAGAAACUGGAUGAAUUGGAUUUAGGAAGUAAUAAGAUUGAAAAUCUUCCACCGCUUAUAUUCAAGGACCUGAAGGAGCUGUCACAAUUGAAUCUUUCCUAUAAUCCAAUCCAGAAAAUUCAAGCAAACCAAUUUGAUUAUCUUGUCAAACUCAAGUCUCUCCUAGAAGGGAUUGAAAUUUCAAAUAUCCAACAAAGGAUGUUUAGACCUCUUAUGAAUCUCUCUCACAUAUAUUUUAAGAAAUUCCAGUACUGUGGGUAUGCACCACAUGUUCGCAGCUGUAAACCAAACACUGAUGGAAUUUCAUCUCUAGAGAAUCUCUUGGCAAGCAUUAUUCAGAGAGUAUUUGUCUGGGUUGUAUCUGCAGUUACCUGCUUUGGAAACAUUUUUGUCAUUUGCAUGCGACCUUAUAUCAGGUCUGAGAACAAGCUGUAUGCCAUGUCAAUCAUUUCUCUCUGCUGUGCCGACUGCUUAAUGGGAAUAUAUUUAUUCGUGAUCGGAGGCUUUGACCUAAAGUUUCGUGGAGAAUACAAUAAGCAUGCGCAGCUGUGGAUGGAGAGUACUCAUUGUCAGCUUGUAGGAUCUUUGGCCAUUCUGUCCACAGAAGUAUCAGUUUUACUGUUAACAUUUCUGACAUUGGAAAAAUACAUCUGCAUUGUCUAUCCUUUUAGAUGUGUGAGACCUGGAAAAUGCAGAACAAUUACAGUUCUGAUUCUCAUUUGGAUUACUGGUUUUAUAGUGGCUUUCAUUCCAUUGAGCAAUAAGGAAUUUUUCAAAAACUACUAUGGCACCAAUGGAGUAUGCUUCCCUCUUCAUUCAGAAGAUACAGAAAGUAUUGGAGCCCAGAUUUAUUCAGUGGCAAUUUUUCUUGGUAUUAAUUUGGCCGCAUUUAUCAUCAUAGUUUUUUCCUAUGGAAGCAUGUUUUAUAGUGUUCAUCAAAGUGCCAUAACAGCAACUGAAAUACGGAAUCAAGUUAAAAAAGAGAUGAUCCUUGCCAAACGUUUUUUCUUUAUAGUAUUUACUGAUGCAUUAUGCUGGAUACCCAUUUUUGUAGUGAAAUUUCUUUCACUGCUUCAGGUAGAAAUACCAGGUACCAUAACCUCUUGGGUAGUGAUUUUUAUUCUGCCCAUUAACAGUGCUUUGAACCCAAUUCUCUAUACUCUGACCACAAGACCAUUUAAAGAAAUGAUUCAUCGGUUUUGGUAUAACUACAGACAAAGAAAAUCUAUGGACAGCAAAGGUCAGAAAACAUAUGCUCCAUCAUUCAUCUGGGUGGAAAUGUGGCCACUGCAGGAGAUGCCACCUGAGUUAAUGAAGCCGGACCUUUUCACAUACCCCUGUGAAAUGUCACUGAUUUCUCAAUCAACGAGACUCAAUUCCUAUUCAUGACUGACUCUGAAAUUCAUUUCUUCGCAGAGAAUACUGUGGGGGUGCUUCAUGAGGGAUUUACUGGUAUGAAAUGAAUACCACAAAAUUAAUUUAUAAUAAUAGCUAAGAUAAAUAUUUUACAAGGACAUGAGGAAAAAUAAAAAUGACUAAUGCUCUUACAAAGGGAAGUAAUUAUAUCAAUAAUGUAUAUAUAUUAGUAGACAUUUUGCAUAAGAAAUUAAGAGAAAUCUACUUCAGUAACAUUCAUUCAUUUUUCUAACAUGCAUUUAUUGAGUACCCACUACUAUGUGCAUAGCAUUGCAAUAUAGUCCUGGAAGUAGACAGUGCAGAACCUUUCAAUCUGUAGAUGGUGUUUAAUGACAAAAGACUAUACAAAGUCCAUCUGCAGUUCCUAGUUUAAAGUAGAGCUUUACCUGUCAUGUGCAUCAGCAAGAAUCAUAGGCACUUUUAAAUAAAGGUUUAAAGUUUUGGAAUACUCAGUGUAUUUGCAUCAUAGAAAAUGUCUGACUGUUUGCAAAAUAAUAUUCUGUUUUAAGAAUCCAUCUUACCUCUCUUUAAGUUUCCAUACACUUGAGAGCCAACACAACAUAUUUAUUACUAAAAAGAUGCUUUGCUAGAAACUCAAAAACAGCACUUCUUUUGGCACUUCCUGCCCAGUUUUCUCUUUGCUUUAAAUGAACAUCAUCAUAUGGAAUUGGAAUAGGAGAGUAUGAGUACGGCAGAGAAGUGGAUCAGAAAAACUAGAAUGAGGAUAAACAUUUACAUUAGUGGAAACUCCUGAAAUAAAUCCUUGUAUUGUCAGUUAACUGAUUUUCAACAAGGAUGCCAAGACAAAAAGGCUUUUCAACAAACCGUGCUGUUUUAAGAACAGACCUAAGUGGUUUAAUUCACCCACUUUAGAUGGGUGAAUGUUAUGGUGUGUGAAAUAUCUCAGUAAAGCAGUUAAAAGGAAAAAGAGCUGGAAUGCACUGAUUCAGGAACUUAAUUUCAGGAAGGAAAGGUCUGUAUGUACACAUUUCACUUUAAGCAGAAAAUCUUUCUUCAAGAAAUGACUUUACUUUCUCUUUGCACUGCCAGCACGUGAGAUACUAACUUUUUAACUAGUUGUUCUUCUCUAGUCUCUACGUUAUUAGAAUUUUUUGCUUUCAUAAUGUGAAACCUUUAAGCAGGAGAAGAAAAUGUUUUCAGAUAGUUUCAAAUACACCAAAAAUGUUUGAAACACAAAAAUACUGGAAUCAAACCAUAAUGCACUUAUUGAAUAUAUAGUUGUAUAGAUUUGUUCUGAAAAUAAAUUAUCUGAAAUUUAACUAUUAA